rnacentral:rRNA from 1 species
AUUGAACGCUGGCGGAAUGCUUUACACAUGCAAGUCGAACGGCAGCACGGGGCAACCUGGUGGCGAGUGGCGAACGGGUGAGUAAUACAUCGGAACGUGCCCAAUCGUGGGGGAUAACGUAGCGAAAGUUACGCUAAUACCGCAUACGAUCUACGGAUGAAAGCGGGGGAUCGCAAGACCUCGCGCGAGUGGAGCGGCCGAUGUCAGAUUAGGUAGUUGGUGGGGUAAAGGCUCACCAAGCCAACGAUCUGUAGCUGGUCUGAGAGGACGACCAGCCACACUGGAACUGAGACACGGUCCAGACUCCUACGGGAGGCAGCAGUGGGGAAUUUGGACAAUGGGCGAAAGCCUGACCCAGCGACGCCGCGUGGAGGACGAAGCCCUUCGGGGUGUAAACUCCUUUUCUCAGGGAAAAGGAUGAUGGUACCUGAGGAAUAAGCCCCGGUAACUACGUG